AGAUUUAGCAAAUUUAGUAAAGGAUUUCCAUUUGCUGUCAUAGAGGCAGGAAGUAGAUGGCUUUCGCGCCUGGUCUAAGAUCGCACAGAAUUGGGGGUUAUCCUUCACGCCGUCAGGUGAAGAGACCGGACAUCGGGAUGGAGAAGGGCCCUGUCGUUUUGCAAGAGGAGGGAUGGUAUUGGAGAAAUGGUGGGACGUGAAGACGCCUUGGCAUUGGGCGGUUUAGAGGCUUCCUUGGACUUCACAGGCAAGGAGAUGCUCUAGAAUCUUCCGGACGUCCUGUGCAGGCGCAGGAU